rnacentral:rRNA from 1 species
GGACCGAGGAGUCCGACAAGGCGGCGAGCCUACGGCAAUCUAAAUCGCUGCGGGCGCAGCGAAGGCGCGUGCGCUUCCGUGACGCGGCGUUUCGGCGCUCGUCGCGGUCGCGCCGGUGCGAGGCGAUGGCGGCGGCGGACGGCGUGCCCUCGGGCGCGUCCGCCCGUUCGGCCGCUCGCAGCCUCGAGAUGAUCUUGUAUCGCAUUCAAGUCAUACUCGUAGCCGCCGUGUCGGGACCCGAAAGGCGGUGAACUAUACCCGGCGAGGGUGAAGUUAGGGGAAACCCUGAUGCAGGCCCGUCGCGUUUCUAACGUGCAAAUUGAUCGUCUGAGCCGGGUAUAGGGGCGAAAGACCAAUCGAACCGUCUAGUAGCUGGUUCCUUUCGAAGUUUCCCUCAGGAUAGCUGAAACGAGAUUCACUUUAACGAGAAUUAGUCGCGUGAGGUAAAGCGAAUGAUUAGAGGCAUUGGGGCUGAAACGGUCUUAACCUAUUCUCAAACUUUCAAUAUGCGCUGUCGGGCGGCUUGCAAUACUGAAGCCGUCAGUGGAUAGAGCGUUUCUAGUGGGCCAGUCCUGGUAAGCAGGACCGGCGAUGUGGGAUGAACCAAAUGCACAAGUUAGAGUGCCAAAAAGUAUGUUAAUCAGAAACCACAAAAGGCGUUAGUAACUAAAGACAGCAGGACGGUGGACAUGGAAGUAGUA